rnacentral:rRNA from 1 species
ACGGGUAGCCGGCCUGAGAGGGUGACCGGCCACACUGGGACUGAGACACGGCCCAGACUCCUACGGGAGGCAGCAGUGGGGAAUAUUGCACAAUGGGCGGAAGCCUGAUGCAGCAACGCCGCGUGAGGGAUGACGGCCUUCGGGUUGUAAACCUCUUUUAGCAAGGAAGAAGCGAAAGUGACGGUACUUGCAGAAAAAGCGCCGGCUAACUACGUGCCAGCAGCCGCGGUAAUACGUAGGGCGCAAGCGUUAUCCGGAAUUAUUGGGCGUAAAGAGCUCGUAGGCGGUUUGUCGCGUCUGCUGUGAAAACUGGAGGCUCAACCUCCAGCCUGCAGUGGGUACGGGCAGACUAGAGUGCGGUAGGGGAGAUUGGAAUUCCUGGUGUAGCGGUGGAAUGCGCAGAUAUCAGGAGGAACACCGAUGGCGAAGGCAGAUCUCUGGGCCGUAACUGACGCUGAGGAGCGAAAGGGUGGGGAGCAA